rnacentral:misc_RNA from 1 species
UGUGGGAGCGAGCCUGCUCGCGAAGGCGUUGGGUCAGCAGCAUGGAGGUCACUGAUGCACCGCUAUCGCGAGCAGGCUCGCUCCCACA